AAACCAGCACCUCAAGUGGUCAGGAUGAUUAUUGGGCCUAAAGCAUCCGUAGCCUGUUCUGUAAGUUUCCGGUUAAAUCCAUUAGCUCAACUAAUGGGCCGCCGAAAAUACUGCAAAACUAGGGAGUGGGAGAGGUAGGCGGUACUCGGUAGGAAGGGGUAAAAUCCUUUGAUCUAUUGAUGACCACCUGUGGCGAAGGCGGUCUACCAGAACACGUUCGACGGUGAGGGAUGAAAGCUGGGGGAGCAAACCGGAUUAGAAACCCCGGUAGUCC
rnacentral:rRNA from 1 species